rnacentral:rRNA from 2 species
GGGGAAUAUUCGGCAAUGGGCGCAAGCCUGACCCAGCAACGCCGCGUGAGGGAAGACGGUUUUCGGAUUGUAAACCUCUGUCGAAGAUGACGAAGGAAGUGACGGUAAUCUGUGAGGAAGCCCCGGCUAACUACGUGCCAGCAGCCGCGGUAAUACGUAGGGGGCGAGCGUUGUCCGGAAUUACUGGGCGUAAAGGGAGCGUAGGCGGUCGAUUAAGUUGGAUGUGAAAUACCCGGGCUUAACUUGGGGGGUGCAUCCAAUACUGGUUGACUAGAGUACAGGAGAGGAAAGCGGAAUUCCUAGUGUAGCGGUGAAAUGCGUAGAUAUUAGGAGGAACACCAGUGGCGAAGGCUGCCAACUGGGCUUUUACUGACGCUGAGGCUCGAAAGCGUGGGGAGCAAACA